rnacentral:rRNA from 1 species
UACGAAGGGGGCUAGCGUUGUUCGGAAUUACUGGGCGUAAAGCGUGCGCAGGCGGCUUCUCAAGUCAGGGGUGAAAGCCCAGAGCUCAACUCUGGAAUUGCCUUUGAGACUGAGUGGCUUGAGUACGAGAGAGGUGAGUGGAAUUCCCAGUGUAGAGGUGAAAUUCGUAGAUAUUGGGAAGAACACCGGUGGCGAAGGCGGCGCUCUGGACCGAGACUGACGCUGAGGCGCGAAAGCGUGGGGAGCAAACAGG